AAUAUACUGCAUACAAGAAACACAUUAACACAUUUAAUUCAAAAAGAAACUCAUAGACUGAAAUCUAAAGGGUGGAAAACAAUACUCUAUGUGACAGGAACCCCGCACCCCCAGCCAAAAAAAAAAAAAAUCAGGAGAAGCUUUCCUCUUUGCAGACCAAGUGGAUUUCAAAUGAAAAUCUGAAACCCUCUGGUCCCAAGAACUUCAGAACAACUUGAAAAUUCAAUAUAGAAAUACAUCACUCCAAGCUCUUCUUGCCUUGAGGGUUUGCAUUGAGAAGUCUGCUGUGAUUCUGAUUGAAAAUUCAGUAUUAAAUUUCACACUUUGCUGAAAUGGUCCAUUGUUCAGAACAGGGUACAGAUAUGAGAGAGUACACAUUGAUGAAUCAACAUAGUAAUAGGACUUGGUUACUCCAUGGGAAACUGUUGGCAGGUUCUCUGAGCCUGUACUUCAGUUCUGUAGUUCUUGACACAAAACCAGAAAAUAUAGAUUCAUUGGACUUCAUUUUCCAUGAAUCAUAUGAAUUGGUUUUGCACAGUGAUCUUGAAGUUCUUCAAAAGUCAAAUUGAAAGUAGGGAUAUGCCACUUACUGAACCCUCAAAGAUUACAUGAAGUUUUCUUUAUAAGACAGACUCAAGUGGUGGCUUCUCUUAAUAUAAUGUAAGAAAAAGAAUUCUUAACUUAAACUCAAACUUAGGAUAAUAUGAUACAGUAUUACAACAAUACAGAAGAGUCUUUACUGAAGAAAACCAGACAGGAUCCAGUUCAUCAGUGGAAAGAAGUAGAGGAUGUUCCUAAUGGAUCCCCUGAGACACAAAGUGUCAGAAUUGUUAAAAUUCUAAGAAUGUUCUGGCACCAACAGCCAGAGUGCCAAGAAUCCUUGCAGGAUCACAGCCAGAAGUCACUACAUUUUUACCUUGCAAGGGCCCAAGAGCAGCCUGGAUGCUUUCUGAAGAACUAUGCCUGCUCAUUUGGUUCUCCAAGGACCUCUCCAAGAUGGAUGUUUCUCCAGUUCUAGAGAAAAUGACAAUCAUUAGAUCACUGGGAAUUUGGCUAUUAGCUCUUGCAAAGGAUGGGUACUGGAUAUAGCAGAGAUAUUUUAAUCUUCCAUUAACAAGCCUGUGUGUCCUCCAAGCUGCAGCUUCCUCUUGUCACAUUUUGUGUAUUUUUGCAAACCAUAUAUAUUGAAUUGUUCCCCAAUUUGUCCAAGAUGGUGUCUACACACUUAAGAAUGGAAAUGAAGCAAAUAGCAUGGAAUAUUAAAAUGUAUAUUUUGAAAAUAACCUACUCUAUUUUUACAGUAUAGUUUUGUUGUAUUAUCUUAAUACUUUUAGAACUAUUAUAGUGAAUUUCACAAUCACAAAAUUUCUUAUAGUCAUCUUAAUUAGUAAUUCCUCUUAAUAAUUUGGCAAGGCUUUUAUACUUGGAUGAAUGUGCUUUUGAGCUAUUUUCCUGAGAUUUAUUCCAUAUAUGGAGAUAUCUCAGUAGGUCCCAUUUUCCCACAGUUUGUCACAAAGUUCCUCUAAGAAUAUCUUUUCAUUCCCUAAACUGAAUUUCCCUNNNNNNNNNNNNNNNNNNNNNNNNNNNNNNNNNNNNNNNCAGAUGUAUCAGGGAGGGAGUCAUGAGAGAAAAGUUUCAAUAUUGCAAAUUUAUGUUUAAAUAUUAUCUUCACAAGAACCUGUAAACAGAAUGUCAACACAGAUCUUUGUGGAGAUUCUGCCUGUUCUGAGUGUAUACAGCUUGCAGCAGCCAGAAAGUUGCACAGUGCUUUGCUCUGGUCUCUUCAUAAACAAGAACGAGAUGUGUGGGGCAGCCUUGCCACACUGAUUUAUACGGAGGCACCAUGUCUUUCAGUACCAAAAAAAAAAAA
rnacentral:lncRNA from 1 species